CGGCGUGCUAACACAUGCAAGUCGAACGGAGACAAACGCCGAUUGAAGCUUACGGCAGAAAUCAUGUUGUCUUAGUGGCGGACGGGUGAGUAACGCGUGGGUAACCUGCCUUAUACCGGGGGAUAACACUUAGAAAUAGGUGCUAAUACCGCAUAAGCGCACAGCUUCGCAUGAAGCAAGUGUGAAAAACUCCGGUGGUAUAAGACUGGACCCGCGUCUGAUUAGCCAGUUGGUGAGGUAACGGCUCACCAAAGCAACGAUCAGUAGCCGGCCUGAGAGGGUGAACGGCCACAUUGGGACUGAGACACGGCCCAAACUCCUACGGGAGGCAGGCAGUGGGGAAUAUUGGACGAAAUGGGGGAAACCCUGAUCCAGCCGACGCCGCGUGAGUGAAGAAGUAUUUCGGUAUGUAAAGCUCUAUCAGCAGGGAAGAUAAUGACGGUACCUGACUAAGAAGCCCCGGCUAACUACGUGCCAGCCGCAGC
rnacentral:rRNA from 1 species